rnacentral:lncRNA from 12 species
CUUUUUAGGCUUGGUCUGUUUGGAUAAGGAUCUAAUUUAGGUUUGUGGAAUCAUCUUAAUGAGACACAAUGUCCUCCGUUGAAAGGUGUCUAAAUUUAGCCAUGCACAUAAUAAACCUAGUCUCUAUAAUUGGGUAGGAUAACUUGAUGGAAAAUUGUCGCUCAGAUUUAGAUUAAAUGUAAAGGUAAGCAAUCCAAAAGUCACACGCGACUUGCUAUGUCACCAUGGAUACGCCAAAGCGAAAACACGAGAAAAAUCAGGGAAGUAGCAAACACAGGGACUUAAUUUGUGAUGUGAAACAGGUGACCCAGGAUGACUCAGAACACCUGUGUUCUUACUUUUUUUUUUUUUUUUUCCUUUUCCCAAAAGAUUUUGGAAAUGCUGUUUCCUGGUGAGAAUACUGCACUGAGUGUGCAUUUACGUGGUUCUUGUGUAUCGCCGCCCAAGAUCUUCCGAUUCGGCAUCUGCUUUGUAGCCAGAGACUCCAGCGAGUCAUACGUGCCCUCGAAGCAGACACAUGCCACCUUAGUACCUGCUGGAUGCCCAGUAAGGACUGACUGAACUCGGCUGAACUGAUGUUACGUUUGACGUCCCCAGGAGAAGACUCGUCUGUGUCAACUGUCCUCACUGGAAAUAGCUGCUGAGGCAGAAGCAUCUAGCAUCAAGUAAUCUUCACAAAUAUCAUCUGUAAUCCAUGAGACUUGCCACUGUUCCUAAGGACGAUUGUUAACCAUGGUGUUACUGAUCCAGUGGAAAGUACAUUUUAUAGAAACUUACCAGGGGUAUUUUGCGACACUGAAAUUUGAUGUCUAUUGUCUCAAUGUGGAAUGUUAAACCCAGCGAUUGGUGCUGAUGAGCGAAUGUGAACCAAUGAGCCAUCAGAGAUGAGACCCAACAGUCGCCAAAUCGCUUGUUGAGGAGAAAUUAGCAAAUGGAUCAAAUGAGGAAUGAGGUCAACCAAGAAUCACAGUGCUGUUCAUUUCAGACAUGGGAGCAGAAGACAAGAUUUCAGACUCAUACACACGGCGACCCCAUGCCCGACUUCAAAAAAACAGUGAUUCAUCCAGACACCAAAGCUCAGCAGCUCAGAGUCAACCUCAAAUAUAGUCAAAGCUCACCAAGUGCUCUCCCAAGAAAAAUAGAACAUAAGUGCCAGAUGACCUGCGGUAAAGACUCUUCUUCCAGAGAGUGGCUGGACUGUCCUGAUUUCAUCGCACCUACAUUAGCGUGUCAACAGGCCCUUGCAAUUCCCAACGAUCCCACUGGGCUUCUUUAUCAUUGAUUACCUGUCCAGUGCCACACAUUUCUACAAAUGCACUCUCUUUUCUUUACGGCUGCAAUGCAGGACCAUUAAAAUCGGGUGUAGGUGUUCAUUAAAAUCGGGCUGAUUGAAUGUCUUUUUUUUUUUUCUUGAUCAAGUAUCUCUACUGAGCUGUGAUUUAGCGAACAUCUUACACUCACCUCUGCUUUCAAGAAAGAUGAGAAACAUGUAACUUUCCGUUUACUGUUGACUGAGACAACAGUUGCCUGAAAAAUUAACUAGAAAUUGAAGUAAACACCAAUAAGGAAGUUACUUCAAAAUAAUUCUCAUUAUUUCUGACUUAUCGUUUGCACCUGAAACAUCUAAGGGGAGUGCCAAUUAAAAUUAUGUGUAUUGUGGGGCACCUGGGUGACCGUUUGACUCUUGGUUUUGGCUCAGGUCAUGAGCCAUGGGAUUGAGCCCCGAGUCGAGCUCCCAGCUGUGAGGUAGCUUCUUCUCCAUCUGCCUCUCCCUCUCCUUUGUCCUCUCUCUCUCUUUUUCCUUUCUCAAAUAAAUAUAUAAAAUCUUUAGAAAAAAAUAAAAAA